CUAGAUAAGGAGGUCCUUAUCUAGAUUGUCAAGCAGAUUUUUCCCCUGUAAGUCCACAAUGCUCAGGAGACCAAUGCACAAAUCCUGAAAUGGAAGCUAAGGCUAGAAGAUCCCAAAAUCCUUGAGGAAAAAGCAAUCCACAAAAUAUCAAUCAAACAAGUGAGAAGGCUGUGUGGUAUUAACACAUAUACCGAAUGCAAAUUCCACCUUACUUAGGGCAUCUGCAAAGAGCCACUGGAAGCACCUGUUCAAAAGCAGACAUACCGUAUUUUGUUGGAAAGACAUCCUCAUCUGUCACUAGUUUCUGCACUGAGCUCAUGACAAAGUCAACAUACUGAGGAGCAGUGCACUUGAUCUUCUUUCCCCGCUCAUCAUACCAGUAGUACUGUCUGUGGAGAGAAUUGACAGUGUCACCACAUCAUACCUCAGCUCCUCAGCAAAACUCCUUUAAGAGUUCUGUGAACAUAGUCCUCACAGGUCUUGGAGGAAGAGAGGAACCACUGACAUGCCAUGAACAUCUCAUGCCUGGUGCUCAGCUCCCACCCAUGUGCUGGGAGUUAUCUCCUUUAACUAGACAGGAAGCAGGUUGGGGCCAUUGAAGGGCUCUGUUGGGUACAGCAGCCUAACUGCAUUCCACCACUGGCACCAUGACAGUACAGUCCUGAAUUAGGCAAUGGAAGCAGAAAGGACAAGAUGACACAAAGGCACUUUUCAGAAAGUGCUCAGACCCACACACUUGAUAUAAGAAUGAAACAGGCAGCCAGCAGUUUGCAAACAUGAAUCAGUCAUCUGCUCCCAAGUACAGGAAGAUACUUUACUUAAGUUAUGAUUUAGCUAAACACAAACCAUUUCAAGUGCUUCACUCAAGUGUAGACAUGCUUCCAGUUAUUCCCAAACAGCACAGUUUUUCAGUUUUCCAAAACAAAGGAUAGGAACACUGUGCUAUUGGUCUUAACCACUAAAAAUACAGAGUACAGUGGGAGCCGCCUACAGGCACUUCCUUUCUUCAUUGUGCAGC